rnacentral:tRNA from 1 species
GGGACCUUAACUUAGCUGGUAGAGUGUCUGCCUUGCACGCAGAAAGUCAGGAGUUCGACUCUCCUAGGUUCC